rnacentral:rRNA from 1 species
AGAGUUUGAUCAUGGCUCAGGACGAACGCUGGCGGCGUGCUUAACACAUGCAAGUCGAACGAGCUCCAACCAGUCGCAAGACUGGGGAAGAGCGAGUGGCGAACGGGUGAGUAACACGUGAGCAACCUGCCUCGAAGACUGGGAUAACAGCGGGAAACCACUGCUAAUACCGGAUACCCCCAUUGGGUCGCAUGGCUCGAUGAGGAAAUGAAUUUCGCUUCGAGAGGGGCUCGCGGGCUAUCAGCUUGUUGGUGGGGUAAUGGCCCACCAAGGCGACGACGGCUAGCUGGUCUGAGAGGACGACCAGCCACACUGGGACUGAGACACGGCCCAGACUCCUACGGGAGGCAGCAGUGGGGAAUCUUGCGCAAUGGGCGAAAGCCUGACGCAGCAACGCCGCGUGCGGGAUGACGGCCUUCGGGUUGUAAACCGCUUUCAGCAGGGACGAAGUUGACGGUACCUGCAGAAGAAGCCCCGGCCAACUACGUGCCAGCAGCCGCGGUA